AAUCAUGGCUCAGGAUGAACGCUAGCUACAGGCUUAACACAUGCAAGUCGAGGGGCAUCAGAAAGAAAGCUUGCUUUCUUUGCUGGCGACCGGCGCACGGGUGAGUAACACGUAUCCAACCUGCCCUUUACUCGGGGAUAGCCUUUCGAAAGAAAGAUUAAUACCCGAUGGGAUAAUGAUUCCGCAUGGUUUCAUUAUUAAAGGAUUCCGGUAAAGGAUGGGGAUGCGUUCCAUUAGGUUGUUGGUGAGGUAACGGCU
rnacentral:rRNA from 1 species